rnacentral:rRNA from 1 species
GAUGAACGCUGGCGGCGUGCCUAAUACAUGCAAGUCGAGCGAACAGACGAGGAGCUUGCUCCUCUGACGUUAGCGGCGGACGGGUGAGUAACACGUGGAUAACCUACCUAUAAGACUGGGAUAACUUCGGGAAACCGGAGCUAAUACCGGAUAAUAUAUUGAACCGCAUGGUUCAAUGGUGAAAGACGGUUUUGCUGUCACUUAUAGAUGGAUCCGCGCCGCAUUAGCUAGUUGGUAAGGUAACGGCUUACCAAGGCAACGAUGCGUAGCCGACCUGAGAGGGUGAUCGGCCACACUGGAACUGAGACACGGUCCAGACUCCUACGGGAGGCAGCAGUAGGGAAUCUUCCGCAAUGGGCGAAAGCCUGACGGAGCAACGCCGCGUGAAUGAUGAAGGUCUUCGGAUCGUAAAACUCUGUUAUUAGGGAAGAACAAAUGUGUAAGUAACUAUGCACAUCUUGACGGUACCUAAUCAGAAAGCCACGGCUAACUACGUG